rnacentral:rRNA from 1 species
UCCAGACUCCUACGGGAGGCAGCAGUGGGGAAUAUUGCACAAUGGGGGAAACCCUGAUGCAGCGACGCCGCGUGAAGGAAGAAGUAUUUCGGUAUGUAAACUUCUAUCAGCAGGGAAGAAAAUGACGGUACCUGACUAAGAAGCCCCGGCUAACUACGUGCCAGCAGCCGCGGUAAUACGUAGGGGGCAAGCGUUAUCCGGAUUUACUGGGUGUAAAGGGAGCGUAGGCGGUUCAGCAAGUCAGAAGUGAAAGCCCGGGGCUCAACUCCGGGACUGCUUUUGAAACUGUUGAACUGGAUUGCAGGAGAGGUAAGUGGAAUUCCUAGUGUAGCGGUGAAAUGCGUAGAUAUUAGGAGGAACACCAGUGGCGAAGGCGGCUUACUGGACUGUAAAUGACGCUGAGGCUCGAAAGCGUGGGGAGCAAACAGGAUUAGAUACCCCGGUAC